AAUCAACGCUGGCGGCGUGCCUCAGACAUGCAAGUCGAACGAUUAAAGCUCUCUUCGGAGAGUGUAUAGAGUGGCGCACGGGUGAGUAACACGUAAGUAAUCUACCUUUGAGUGGGGAAUAACGUCCGGAACGGACGCUAAUACCGCAUAAUGCAGCGGCAUCGCAAGAUGACAGUUGUUAAAGAUUUAUCGCUUGAAGAGGAGCUUGCGGCAGAUUAGCUAGUUGGUAAGGUAAUGGCUUACCAAGGCUACGAUCUGUAACCGGUCUAAGAGGACGGUCGGUCACACUGACACUGAAUAACGGGUC
rnacentral:rRNA from 1 species